AUUGAACGCUGGCGGCAGGCCUAACACAUGCAAGUCGAGCGGAUGAAGGGAGCUUGCUCCUGGAUUCAGCGGCGGACGGGUGAGUAAUGCCUAGGAAUCUGCCUGGUCGUGGGGGAUAACGUCCGGCAACGGGCGCUAAUACCGCAUACGUCCUGAGGGGGAACGUGGGGGAUCUUCGGACCUCACGCUUUCAGAUGAGCCUAGGUCUGAUUAGCUAGUUGGUGGGGUAAAGGCCUACCAAGGCGACGAUCCGUAACUGGUCUGAGAGGAUGAUCAGUCAAACUGGAACUGAGACACGGUCCAGACUCCUACGGGAGGCAGCAGUGGGGAAUAUUGGACAAUGGGCGAAAGCCUGAUCCAGCCAUGCCGCGUGCGUGAAGAAGGUCUUCGGAUUGUAAAGCACUUUAAGUUGGGAGGAAGGGCAGUAAGUUAAUACCUUGCUGUUUUGACGUUACCAACAGAAUAAGCACCGGCUAACUUCGUG
rnacentral:rRNA from 1 species